rnacentral:rRNA from 1 species
GUCUAUGGCCAUACCUCCCUGAACACACCUGAUCUUGUCUGAUCUCAGAAGCUAAGCAGGGUUGGGCCUGCUUAGUACUUGGAUGGGAGAACAUCACUGGUUAUUCAAGAAA